CGGAUCCACUUUCCUCCCGUUCUUGAAGAUAGGCACCGCAUUGGCCUUCUUCCAAUCUUCGGGCGCUUCACCAGAGCACUAGGAGUUUGCGAAGAUCCGUGCUAGGGACUGGGCUAUUGAAGAUCCAAAGUAUUGGUUUUCUUUAUCAAAAGCCAUAUGUAAUGAAAGAGACUAGAUCAGCAUUGAACUAAGCUUUGCUCUGUUCUUGGGAAGAGUCCCGUGCAUUUCAGAAUGGUUCAACUGAAACAGCUGUCAUUUUCCAAUUCUGUGCGCUAGAUGGUCUACAGCAAGCCUUCAGCCCAACUGAAUUCUGCAAUGUAAUUGG